ensembl:snRNA U6 U6 spliceosomal RNA
GUGCUCGCUUCGGCAGCACAUAUACUAAAAUUGGAAUGACACAGAGAAGAUUAGCAUGGCCCCUGUGGAAGGAUGACACACAAAUAUCCACUCAGAGAAUAGAUAAAAGAAU